CAGAGUAGAAUCUUGUGCGUGGCGCCCAGUGGCGCGCAGUGCCGUCUGAACGGGGAGUUGUCAGACGGACGAAACGGGUAAAAAUCCCUGCGGUUCAAGAUUCGCAUCCCGCUGU
rnacentral:ncRNA from 1 species